UUGGGAAUAUUGGACAAUGGGGGUAACCCUGAUCCAGCAAUCCCGCGUGAGUGAUGAAGGCCCUCGGGUCGUAAAGCUCUUUUAGGAGGGACGAAGGGAAACUUGACGGUACCUCCAGAAAAAGCACCGGCUAACUCUGUGCCAGCAGCCGCGGUAAUACAGAGGGUGCAAGCGUUGUUCGGAAUCAUUGGGCGUAAAGCGCGUGUAGGCGGCCAUUUAAGUUUGGUGUGAAAGCCCAGGGCUUAACCCUGGAAGUGCACUGAAUACUGAGUGGCUAGAGGACGAGAGAGGACAAUGGAAUUCAUGGUGUAGGGGUGAAAUCCGUAGAUAUCAUGAGGAACAUCUGUGGCGAAGGCGAUUGUCUGGCUCGUAUCUGACGCUGAGACGCGAAAGCGUGGGGAGCAAACAG
rnacentral:rRNA from 1 species